rnacentral:rRNA from 1 species
CCUAGGCUUACCAAUGGAUGUCUUGGCUCCUCACACGAUGAAGAACGUUGCAUAAUGUGAUAAGUAACUGGAGUUGCAAACAUUGUGACAAGUUAAUCUUUGAAUGCAAAUUGCGCUUAUCUUUACUUUCGGGUAAGGAUUGCAUGUAUGCCACAGUACUGCAUAAUAUAUAUAUAUAUAUAUAUAUUCUUUCUAAAUAUUUUUUUUAGAAAGUAAAUAAAUUUGUAAUCUCUUAAAAAAAAAAAAAGUAGUCUGCGACAUACAGGAAAACCCGCUGAACUGAAGCAUCUCAUUAAGCGGAGGAAAAGAAACUAACUAGGAUUCCCUCACUAAAGGCGAUCGAAGAGGGAAAAGCCCAACGUCAUAAUCCCAUUUAACAAACGGGAAAUGUAGACAGUGCCUCAAUUGCCAAAAGCCUAAGUGUUUUGCAUAACACGCAAUAGAGAGUAAAAGCCUCGUAAAGUAUAAUUGGCAAGCUAUGGGACAGUGUAAAGAGUCGGAUACCUUGAGAGUGGUGUCUUAAGUGGGUGGUAUGCCCCAUCCAAGGCUAAAUAUAGUGAGGAGACCGAUAGAAUACAAGUAGUGUGAACGAAAGAUGAAAAGGACUCCAAGACGGAACGUGAAAAGCGCCUGAAAUUGGACCUAGUGAAGGCUAUUAUAUAGCGCCCGUCUUGAAACACGGAUUAGGGAGUUUAUCUAUAGUGCGAGUCUUUGCUCGUUAACAGUAAAGGCGUAAAGAAAAUAACUGGCUUUUAUAGCAUGGCUACAGAGCAUUAUAGAUAGAACCCGAAAGGUGGUGAACUUUGCCUGCACAGGGUGAAGCCAGGGGAAACUCUGGUGGAGGCCCGUUGGAGUUAUUGAUGUGCAAAUCAUUUUUCAGAUGUAGGUAAAGGGGCGAAAGACUCAUCGAACCACCUAAUAGCUGGUUUCCCCCGAAGUUUCCCUCAGGAUAGCCGUAAAGCAAGUUGAUAGUUAAGGGGAGUAGAGAUAUGGGUAGAGGUGUAGGGGUCUUUCGGGGCCUCAACUUAUUUCCAAACUUCGAACCUUCUUUUUUUUGUAUAUUUGCCUAACUAGUGAAAUAUACAGUUAAAUUAGCUUUAUGAGUGGGCUCUGACCGGUAAGCGGUCAUGGCGAAAUGGGAUGAACCAUACGUUAGAAUAAGGUGCCUAAGUGUACUACCAUUGAUACCAUUAAGAGUGUCCAUGUAUUAAAACAGCAGGUCGGUGCCCCUAAAAGUAGGUGAUCCGUUAAAGAGUGUGUUAAAACUCACCUGCCGAAUACUCGGGCCUCGAAAAUGAAUGGCGCAUUAUAGUACCACCGAUACCUAACACUUGUUCUAUAGAGCAAGGAGUAGGGGGAUGUGGACAAUUUAGCGAAGUUAGCACGUGAGUGUUAAUUGAAGAUUGUCUAUUACAGAUCCUAAUUGAAGUAGCGAUUAUCCAGGUUAGUAUCCUGGGGGCUGAUGAGGAGUAGGGUUUCUGGGCAACUUAAACAGGCCCAGAGUUAGUCGAUCCUAAUCAACAUAAUUCUAACAGAAGUUGAGAAAGGGAGUACAGUUGACAUUCUGUAACUGAAACUAAGUUUUUGCGGCAACGCACAGACUAUUUUUUCACCGUCAAUCAUAUACCGUUUGGUAGGGAUUUCUUUCCUAUAUGACAGUGCUAAGGCCCAGGUAAACUUGUUAAAAGGAGAACUGCGGUCUUGUAUCUGGCAAAAUUUCACUUCGGUGAAAUCAAUGGCUAUUUGAGUGAUCCAUGAAGCGAAAAAUAGUAUACUAGUUCAGUCGUACCGAUAACCGCAUCAGGUCUUCUAGGUGAGUAGCCUAUGGCCAUUGAGGCAUGAUAGUUCAGGGAAAUCGGCAAAUUAGAGUUGUAACUUCGGGAUAAAGCUUGGCUCUGAUGAAAAUCAGAACCGAUUGUUACGCGGAGAGCCCAACUGUUUAAUAAAAACGUAGUGUCGCGCUGUGCUCGUAUAGGCAGUUAACGCGACAUGAAUCCUGCUCAGUGCUGUGUCUGUUAAUAUGGUUCAAGCCAACGAAGCACCGGUAAAUAGCUGGGGUAACUAUGACUCUUAUCAAAGUAGCGAAAUACCUCGUCACUUAAUUAGUGACCUGCAUGAACGGAGCUAUGAGGUUCUCACUGUCCCAAACUGUCUCUCAGCGAACCAACAGUAGUGGGAACGGUCACUAAGUAUCCAGCGGGGAAAGAAGACCCUGUAGAGCUUCACUUUGGUCUAGUCUUGUAUAGUUCUGGCGGGGAUUCAGCUAGGUGGGAGAGCAAUCGAACGUGAGAGACCACUGCCCUGUUUAGAAUUAUACUUACCUUAUUAAACAAGGAAUAGGACUAGAUAGAAAGUUUGGCUGGGGCGGCACACCUUCGAAAGAGCAGCGAAGGUGUCCUAAGUUGAGCUCAGUGAGGACAGAAAUCUCACGUUGAGGAUAAGGCCAAAAGCUCAUUUUACUGUGCCUUUUUGUAAUAGGACCAGUUACGAAAGUAAGGCCUAACGAUCCCUACAUUGCCUCCGGUGCGUGAGGAUUGGGGUGACAGACAAGUUACCUCCGGGACAACUGGCUUGUGGCUGCUAAGAGAUCAAAUCAACGCAGCUUUUUGAUUCUUCGAUGUCGGCUCUUCCUAUCCUAGUGAUGUACAAGUUGCUAAGGGUUGGAUUGUUCACCCGUAUUAGGGAUCGUGAGCUGGGUUUAGACCGUCGUGAGCCAGGUUUGUUUUAUCCUACUGGAUAUUGCAUCAUGAUAGUAGAUUGAUUAAGUACGAGAGGAACCGUUGAUUAUGGCCUCUGGUUCGCGAUUAUUGGAAACGAUAUUGUCGCAUCGCUACGCCGUCUGGGAUAAUGGCUGAAGGCCUCUUAAGCCAGAAGCCCAUCUAAAAAAUGAUGCAUUUGUAAUGCUAUGAGAAAGAAUAUAUUAAAUUAAGUCACUCAAAGUAGCAUACAUGAAAACCCAAUGUAGAAGACAUUGAAUGAAAGAGGGUACUGUAAGUAGUGGAGUGGCAUUACGUCCACGACCUACUGAGGUUCAGCCUCAUUUCUUAGGUUCCAAAUUUUUA